ACGUCUGGCAGCAUCUCUGGCUGCUGUUGACCUUGUUUCUGGAGUAAAACACGAUGUUCAGAGGGAGAUGAUGCCACAUCAUUGUCCAGCUGAUGGAAGGUCUUGAAGUUCUCUGACUGGCCUCGACUGAAGAUGGUCGUCUCACUGGAUUUAAGGUUCAGAUGCUCAGUAACAAACUCCACCAAUGAGCCAACAGGGAAGCUUUUGGUUUAUUAAAUGUUGCUAUGAAGGUAUCGCUGUUUUUCUUUGUGAAUGCAAUGUGCUCCAACUGAAACUUGAAUUAGAACUUAGAAGUAAAUCCUUCCAUCUGAAAGGAUUUAGUUGCAUUAAUAACCUCAUAACGUUCUAAUUUUUAUUCCAGUCAUUGUUGGAAAUAGAAUCUCUGUAUUGAUUCAGGUAAAAACUGAACUUCACAGCAUGUUGAAGCAAAACAACCAGAUGAAAACUGUGAUGGUGUUGGAUUGUCAGACCGUAAUGUUGCAGCUCAAAGCAGCUUUUCUAUCUCAGUUCAUUCUGACAUUCAGCUAUGAAUCAACACAGCAGAUGGUGAUCCAUGCUGUGGAAGUCUCACAUCUCCUGAUUUAAUGGAGCUGCUUUGCACUUUUUACACUGUUUAUUCACCAACACUUUAUUUAAUAAAAGUCCCAUCUAGUUUUUAUGAGGAAUGUGAUGUUUUAAUUUCUCUGUGAAUAACUGCAGUCUAAUGCAACAGCUGGAGUUGUAACAUCUGUCCUGAUAUUGAUCAUGAAGUAUUGAUCAGAAUACUUAUGGUUAGCAGUCAUCCCUGAAGUUUUACAUUAAAAUCUUUACUUGUGUUGUGAACUUUGGUAAGAAGCAGAAACGUUAGCGUUGCCAUGGAUACAUGAGUGUUAAAUUCUGUCCAUGUUUCCAUUUUGGGAAAUGCAGUCCAGUUCCAGAAUGUGGAGGAAUUUAGUCUCACAAUCACAGACAACAAAUAUUAUCUGAAAGUCGGGUUAUUGUUGUUUAUCAGCACAAUACAAAAAGAUUAAUGUUAGAAAUAUUCCAGUUAAGACCAUAGAAUAUCAUGAUUUAUGUAAAUUUACCUCAAUAAUAUGAAUGUUCAGGUUAAGAUUGUACAGUGAUAUUUAUUAUGUAAGUUUAGCUGAUUAAAGUUUAUGACUCUGCACUAAAAUAUUAUUUAAAUUGACAUCAUUAUUAUAAUAUUUAGGGUCAGACCCUACAGUAUUGAGAUUAAGAAAUCAAAUAUUCUAUAAAAUGUAAAUACACUGAACUCAUUUGGAUAUAUUUAAGUGAGACUCUACAAUAUUAUUUGACACAAAUCUAUCUAAAUCAAAAUUUUAAUAAUUUUCACUCCAAACAUUUACUGGACUGAUUUAAAUAUUAAAAUCACUCCUUUCUAAUCCUCUGCUGUACGUUCAAACCUGAGGCCUUAAAUAGAAACACACAAGUAUCUGAUUGAAGGAACUUCUGCAGAGUCCUGGUUCCAGAACAUGAUGAUAGAAUUAUAGACAAACUUUAACAAAAGCUGCCUGAGAGUUUACAGGUUUUUAUCUUAGAUUUCUUCAGUAAUUUAAUGAGAGUUAUCAGCAAAAAUCAAGUGUUCAUUUGAUGAACUUGAUUUCCUAAAACAUCCAGAAUUGGAGCUCAUAUCUUUGGCAGCUGUAAAGUUUCUGCUCCUUCAAAGUUCACAACACAAUGAAUGAAUUCCUAAAACACUCUCAAUGCUGGAGAGCGUUUGUGAUGCUGAAGCAGUGACCAGUUUUUCUGUUUCUUCUCUGGAGAUGCACAAUGAGGGACGUCUGCAGAGACUGAGAAAGAGUCUCACCACAUCCUGACAUGAGGAAAAAGACUUUACUGAAGACUACAAUGAGAAAAACUAUCAGCAGACGGCUGCAUUCAAGUCUGUAGCUGCUGAAUUCAUGGAUGAAUCAUCUGGCACUAGAGAGGAAGACCAUCAAACAUCCACGUCAGCUGAUGGAGGUCCAAGAGUCUCACCCAACAAACAACCUACAGAGUGAAGACCUCAAAUCUGAUUGGACGGCCUCCUAUUCAGCCACGUGUGAACAAAUGCCUCUAAGUUGAUUUGUUUUCUGAAAUAAAUCUAGUUUGAGUCCUA
ensembl:lncRNA